rnacentral:rRNA from 1 species
AUGGCAUCCUUCGCCAACCUCCUGAUCUCACUUUUCUCGCUCACCCUCACGCUCCUGCAUGCUCCUGCACCUGCGGUAUGCGACGACCUAGGUGCAGGCCUCUCUCCAAGCCAUCGCACAUACAUUGUGCUGCUGAGGCCACCCGUCGACGCCGGCAGCGAGGACGACCACCGCUGGUGGCAGGAUUCUUUCCUGCCAACGCCUCUCGCCGGCUCCCAUGAGCCACGCCUCAUCCAUACCUACACCGAGGUCUUCACGGGGUUUGCCGUGAGGCUCACCGAAGCCGACCUCGCCAUGGUGUCCCAGAGGAAAGAGUUUGUGCGGGCGUUUCCAGACCAUCUCUGGCGCCCCAGCACUACUCACACUCCCAAGUUUCUCGGACUGGAGAAAGAUGCCGGGCUGUGGAGGGACACCAACUAUGGCGAAGGAGUCAUAAUCGGUGUAGUCGACACCGGCAUCUAUGCGGGGCAUCCUUCCUUUGAUGACAGUGGCAUCCCGCCACCUCCAUCAAAGUGGAAGGGUUCAUGCCAUGGUACUGCUGCUGCCCAUUGCAAUAACAAAUUGAUUGGUGCCAAGUUCAUCACCGUCAAUGACUCUGGAGAUGUCAUAGGGCAUGGGACACAUACCUCGUCCACGGCUGCUGGGAACUUUGUCAGUGGUGCCUCGGCACAGGGUCUCGGCAGGGGCACAGCAGCCGGGACUGCUCCACGUGCACAUCUGGCCAUGUACAGCAUGUGUACGCUUCGUGGGUGUGACUCCGUUGACAUCAUUGCGGGGAUAGACGAAGCUAUCAAGGAUGGGGUUGAUGUGCUCUCACUCUCCCUUGCCCCUAUUUAUGAUGUUGAGUUCAGUGCAGACCCGGUAGCCAUUGGUGCACUCAGUGCAGUAGCAAAGGGCAUCGUUGUUGUGGCUGCAGCUGGGAAUAAUGGACCCAAAUCGUUUCUUGCAAAUUCUGCACCAUGGUUGCUCACAGUUGCAGCUGGCUCAGUGGACCGAAGCUUCGAGACUGUUGUGCAGCUUGGGAACGGCAAUCACAUCAAUGGAGAGGCUUUUAACCAGAUUACAAACUCAAGCUCCAAGCCCAAAUCUUUUCCUCUGCAUUUGAACAAGCAUUGCAAGUCAUUGCCUGGAAGAAAUGUGGCCGGCAAAAUUGUGAUUUGCCAUAGCACAGGACCAAUGAAUGACACUGGGCCAUCAAUCAACAAGACCGACAUCAGUGCCAUCAUUAGUGCCGGGGCGGCUGGUGUAGUGCUAAUAAACAGGAAAGCUGCCGGUUUCACCACCCUUCUCGAGGACUAUGGCAAUGUGGUGCAGGUGACUCUGGCUAAUGGCAACAAUAUCACAGAGUAUGUGAGGACGACAAGCAAAGCCAGUGCCAAAGUCAUAUACAAGAACACUGUGCUUGGCGUCCGUCCAUCUCCCACGGUCGCGGCAUUCUCAUCCCGCGGUCCCGGCACGUUCAGCCCCGGUGUGCUAAAGCCAGAUAUAUUGGCACCUGGGCUCAACGUCAUUGCUGCAUGGCCACCACUCACCAUGCUUGGAUCUGGGCCAUUCCACAUUAAAUCAGGGACGUCCAUGUCGACUCCACAUGUCAGUGGUGUCGCUGCGCUUGUCAAGAGCUGCCAUCCUGACUGGUCUGCUGCUGCUAUCAAGUCAGCCAUCCUCACCACUGCUGACAUCAUGGACAGCACAGGUGGCCCGAUCUUGGACGAGCAGCAUCAGAGGGCAACCGCGUACGCCAUGGGUGCUGGCCAUGUCAACCCUACAAAAGCAGUUGAUCCAGGCCUUGUGUAUGACCUUGGCAUUACUGAAUAUGCCGGCUACAUAUGUGCUCUACUUGGUGAUCAGGACUUGGCAUUCAUUACGCGUGACCCGAGGUUGUCCUGCAAAAUGCUUCCCAAGAUACCUGAAGCACAACUCAACUACCCUACCAUAACGGUGCCACUCAAGACAAGGCCGUUCACAGUGCACAGAACUGCGACAAACAUGGGCCCAUCAAAUUCCAUAUACACACUGAAGAUGGAGAUUCCCAAAUCUCUUACAGUGCGAGUCUACCCAGAGACGCUGGUGUUAUCCAAGGCUGGACAAAAGAUUAGAUAUAGUCUGACGGUGAGCAGCUCUGACAGUGAGAGCUCAAACUUCAUGGAGGGAAGUUUGAGCUGGGUCUCAGUGACCCAUGUUGUGCGCAGUCCGAUCGUUGUCGCACUUUUGUAA